CGAAUUCUUACAUUUGGAAGAAGUUUGCAGUGGAGUAAGACUUCUAUCUAUAGCAUUCUGUUGAAGAAAAUCUCUCACCUGCAGGGACUACACUCCACCUGGCCAUGUGUCACUGUGUAUGCAAAAUGUUUGUCACCUGCAAAGGAACACGGCAAGAGAAGAUGGCGAGUAUCUACAAUGACUCGAUGUGAGGCUGAUCAACAUCAUCACGAGUCUAUAAAAUCUUUCUGCUUCCAAGAAAAGUCUCUGUCAACUUACACACCAGACUGCUUUCCUUUCCUAGCAAUCAAGUAUUUUCACUUAGAUAUUAUGUAUAGUCUCAAGUUUUAUAUGUUUCAUCAUCUGAAAAGGUCUAUUUUAAAUUCUAAAUGUUUGCUAAUUUCUGGUUAAGGUUGUCAUGGAGUUUUCUCCUUCUUCAUCUAAAUCAUCUGGCAGUGAAGUUAUUGCCUUAAAUCACCAUAUCUAGCUAACA
ensembl:lncRNA novel transcript, antisense to DYM